rnacentral:rRNA from 1 species
UUGACCUCGGAUCAGGUAGGGAUACCCGCUGAACUUAAGCAUAUCAAUAAGCGGAGGAAAAGAAACCAACAGGGAUUGCCCCAGUAACGGCGAGUGAAGCGGCAAGAGCUCAAAUUUGAAAGCUGGCCCCCGCGGGGUCCGCGUUGUAAUUUGCAGAGGAUGCUUCGGGUGCGGCCCCCGUCUAAGUGCCCUGGAACGGGCCGUCAUAGAGGGUGAGAAUCCCGUCUGGGACGGGGAGUCCGCGCCCGUGUGAAGCUCCUUCGACGAGUCGAGUUGUUUGGGAAUGCAGCUCUAAAUGGGUGGUAAAUUUCAUCUAAAGCUAAAUAUUGGCCGGAGACCGAUAGCGCACAAGUAGAGUGAUCGAAAGAUGAAAAGCACUUUGAAAAGAGAGUGAAACAGCACGUGAAAUUGUUGAAAGGGAAGCGCUUGCGACCAGACUCGCCCGCGGGGUUCAGCCGGCAUUCGUGCCGGUGUACUUCCCCGCGGGCGGGCCAGCGUCGGUUUGGGCGGCCGGUCAAAGGCCCCUGGAAUGUAACGCCUCUCGGGGCGUCUUAUAGCCAGGGGUGCCAUACGGCCAGCCCGGACCGAGGACCGCGCUUCGGCACGGACGCUGGCAUAAUGGUCGUAAGCGACC